rnacentral:rRNA from 3 species
CGGUGAGGCCUUCGGACUGGCCCAGGGAGGUCGGCAACGACCACCCAGGGCCGGAAAGUUGGUCAAACCCGGUCAUUUAGAGGAAGUAAAAGUCGUAACAAGGUCUCCGUAGGUGAACCUGCGGAGGGAUCAUU